AAAUUGAAGAGUUUGAUCAUGGCUCAGAUUGAACGCUGGCGGCAGGCCUAACACAUGCAAGUCGAGCGGUAGCACAGAGAGCUUGCUCUCGGGUGACGAGCGGCGGACGGGUGAGUAAUGUCUGGGAAACUGCCUGAUGGAGGGGGAUAACUACUGGAAACGGUAGCUAAUACCGCAUAACGUCGCAAGACCAAAGUGGGGGACCUUCGGGCCUCAUGCCAUCAGAUGUGCCCAGAUGGGAUUAGCUAGUAGGUGGGGUAACGGCUCACCUAGGCGACGAUCCCUAGCUGGUCUGAGAGGAUGACCAGCCACACUGGAACUGAGACACGGUCCAGACUCCUACGGGAGGCAGCAGUGGGGAAUAUUGCACAAUGGGCGCAAGCCUGAUGCAGCCAUGCCGCGUGUGUGAAGAAGGCCUUCGGGUUGUAAAGCACUUUCAGCGGGGAGGAAGGCGAUAAGGUUAAUAACCUUGUCGAUUGACGUUACCCGCAGAAGAAGCACCGGCUAACUCCGUGCCAGCAGCCGCGGUAAUACGGAGGGUGCAAGCGUUAAUCGAAAUUACUGGGCGUAAAGCGCACGCAGGCGGUCUGUCAAGUCGGAUGUGAAAUCCCCGGGCUUAACCUGGGAACUGCAUUCGAAACUGGCAGGCUAGAGUCUUGUAGAGGGGGGUAGAAUUCCAGGUGUAGCGGUGAAAUGCGUAGAGAUCUGGAGGAAUACCGGUGGCGAAGGCGGCCCCCUGGACAAAGACUGACGCUCAGGUGCGAAAGCGUGGGGAGCAAACAGGAUUAGAUACCCUGGUAGUCCACGCCGUAAACGAUGUCGAUUUGGAGGUUGUGCCCUUGAGGCGUGGCUUCCGGAGCUAACGCGUUAAAUCGACCGCCUGGGGAGUACGGCCGCAAGGUUAAAACUCAAAUGAAUUGACGGGGGCCCGCACAAGCGGUGGAGCAUGUGGUUUAAUUCGAUGCAACGCGAAGAACCUUACCUGGUCUUGACAUCCACAGAACUUUCCAGAGAUGGAUUGGUGCCUUCGGGAACUGUGAGACAGGUGCUGCAUGGCUGUCGUCAGCUCGUGUUGUGAAAUGUUGGGUUAAGUCCCGCAACGAGCGCAACCCUUAUCCUUUGUUGCCAGCGGUUAGGCCGGGAACUCAAAGGAGACUGCCAGUGAUAAACUGGAGGAAGGUGGGGAUGACGUCAAGUCAUCAUGGCCCUUACGACCAGGGCUACACACGUGCUACAAUGGCAUAUACAAAGAGAAGCGACCUCGCGAGAGCAAGCGGACCUCAUAAAGUAUGUCGUAGUCCGGAUUGGAGUCUGCAACUCGACUCCAUGAAGUCGGAAUCGCUAGUAAUCGUAGAUCAGAAUGCUACGGUGAAUACGUUCCCGGGCCUUGUACACACCGCCCGUCACACCAUGGGAGUGGGUUGCAAAAGAAGUAGGUAGCUUAACCUUCGGGAGGGCGCUUACCACUUUGUGAUUCAUGACUGGGGUGAAGUCGUAACAAGGUAACCGUAGGGGAACCUGCGGUUGGAUCACCUCCUUA
rnacentral:rRNA from 1 species